rnacentral:rRNA from 1 species
AUUGAACGCUGGCGGCAUGCUUUACACAUGCAAGUCGAACGGCAGCGCGGGGGCAACCCUGGCGGCGAGUGGCGAACGGGUGAGUAAUGCAUCGGAACGUAUCCUGUAAUGGGGGAUAACGUAGCGAAAGUUACGCUAAUACCGCAUACGCUCGAGAGAGGAAAGUGGGGGAUCGCAAGGCCUCACGUUAUAGGAGCGGCCGAUGUCCGAUUAGCUAGUUGGUGGGGUAAAGGCCUACCAAGGCGACGAUCGGUAGCUGGUCUGAGAGGAUGAUCAGCCACAUUGGGACUGAGACACGGCCCAGACUCCUACGGGAGGCAGCAGUGGGGAAUUUUGGACAAUGGGCGCAAGCCUGAUCCAGCCAUGCCGCGUGAGUGAAGAAGGCCUGGUGUAAGCUCUUAGUCGGACGAAUACGCACGCGUGAAUAUCGCGGGUGGAGUGACGGUACCGGAACGAAUAAGCACCGGCUAACUAACGUGCCAGCA